AACAUUGGUGUGUAAAGCCAAAGAUCCCGGGUUCGAUCCCCGGCGGGGGUG
rnacentral:tRNA from 1 species